rnacentral:tRNA from 1 species
GGAUUUAGCUCAGUGGUAGAGCACUUGCCUAGCAAGCACAAGAUCCUGGGUUCGGUCCCCAGCUCCG